rnacentral:lncRNA from 13 species
AGGUACUAUUCUAUAUAACCUCUACAGAGGUACCAGUCUAUUUAACCUCUACAGAGGUACCAGUCUAUAUAAUUUCUACAGAGGUACCAGCCUAUUUAACCUCUACAGAGGUACUAGUCUAUAUAACCUCUACAGAGAGGUACCAGUCUAUAUAGACUCUACAGAGAGGUACUAGUCUAUAUAAUCUCUACAGAGAGGUACUAUUCUAUAUAACCUCUACAGAGGUACCAGUCUAUUUAACCUCUACAGAGGUACCAGUCUAUAUAACCUCUACAGGGGUACCAGUCUAUAUAACCUCUACAGAGGUACCAGUCUAUAUAACCUCUACAGAGGUACCAGUCUAUAUAGACUCUACAGAGAGGUACAAGUCUAUAUAGACUCUACAGAGGUACUAGUCUAUAUAACCUCUACAGAGAGGUACCAGUCUAUAUAGACUCUAAAGAGGUACCAGUCUUUAUAACAUCCUACUAUAGGAGCGCUGCUUCACAGACAAGCCAAAACAACUUCAGUGGCAUAACAUCCUGAAUGUGUCCAUCUCUCCACAGUCCUGCUGUAUGUGAGGAAAGAGUCGGAUGAGGUGUUUGAUGCUCUGAUGCUCAAGUCUCCAACCCUGAGAGGCCUGAUGGAAGCAAUAUCAGAGAAGUAUGGAGUUCCCACUGAGAGGAUAGCCAAGAUCUACAAGAAAAGCAAAAAAGGGAUCCUGGUGAACAUGGACGACAACAU